rnacentral:rRNA from 1 species
GACGAACGCUGGCGGCGUGCCUAAUACAUGCAAGUCGAAAGCAGUGGCGACGGGUGAGUAACACGUGGGUAACCUCCCAACAGAGGGGAUAACACUUGGAAACAGGUGCUCAACCGAUACAGAUGGAUGGACACGCGGUGAAUUAGCUAGUUGGUGAGGUAACGGCUCACCAAGGCCACGAUGAAUAGCCGACCUGAGAGUGUGAUGGGCCACACGUGGACUGAUCCACGGCCCCGCCUCCUACGUGAGGAAGCAGUAGGUAAUCUUCGGCAAUGGACGAAAGUCUGCCCGAGCAACUCCGCGUGGGUGAAGAAGGUUUUCGGAGCCUAAAUCUCUUUUGUUAGAGAAGCGGUAUCUAACCAGAAAGCCACUGCUAACUACGGGCCAGCAGCCGCGGUAAUUC